CGGGGCUUGAAUUCACUAACCGCGAGAUCAUGACCUGAGCCGAAGUCGGACGCUUAACCGACUGAGCCACCCAGGCGCCCCUACAUUUUAAAGUGUCCUGAUAUAUAUGGCUAACUUGCUUUCCCUUAAGGUGUUAUCAGUUUACACUUCCAUUGACCGUAUAUGAGAAUGUGUAUAUUACCACACUCUUGCCAACACUGAGAUCUUCAGUUUUUAAUGUAUCUAUUAAUUUACAAAAUACAAAUGUCAUCUCAUUGUGUCUUAACUUGCAUUUUUGAAGUUUAUUUAUUUAUUUUGAGAGAGACAGAGAGACAGAGAGACAGAGAGAGAGAACGAACGAACUCCAAGCAGGCUCUAUGCUGUCAGUGCAGAGCCCAACGUGAGGCUCGAACUCGCAAGCCAUGAGAUCAUGACCUGUGCCCAAACCAAGAGUCGACGCUAACCAACUGAGCUCCCCAAGCGCCCCUUAACUUGAAUUUUUGGAUUAAUAGUAAGGUUGAACGUUUUGCUCAUAUGUGUAUCAAUUAUUUGCAUUUCUUUUGUUCUACUAAUGUCUUAAUGUUUUUUGUCUUUACUAUAGAAAGGAUUGUCUGCUAUAUUUGCUACUAUAUAUAUAUAAAAUAUAACACACACACACACACACACACAUACACAAAUAUAUAUAUAAUUUUUUUCUUACCAAUUUGAUGUUCCUGGCAAACCUCUCAAGCAAAACCCAAAGGGAGACCCUUUGUACAUCUGUACAGUGAUCAACCCAAGGAUGUCCCAGGCCCCAGCAUUUCUUUAUAUACCAUUCUUUCUUGCCCUUAUCACCCACCUGCCUACCUUUACAUGAUACCUUUUAUGUGCUAAGCACUAGGACAUGGAGUUAAAAACAUGGCUCCUGCCCCAAAGGAACUCACAGUCAGUGGACCGAGUGUGUAUAUGUAAUCAGAGGCACUUAGAGAAAGCACUUUGGGUCACUAGGGCUCAGAGGUGGCUUGGGGAGAUGGGGGUAGAAGUCCUCGCCUGGCUUACACCAUCACAGGCAAGUUUCCUCUCGUCUACCAGGUGACAGCAAAGCACAGGAAGGCCAAUUAAAGAUCGAAGCACGAGUCUCCAAUUCAGCACCUUGACCAUGUGGUUUGGAAGCAAGAAGGAGGACAAGGUCUCUGGAGCCAAGGCGCUAAAGAAGAGAGAUGACUGCUGGCCCAUCCCACUACCUGCAGGAUCUCUCCGGCAAAAGCUGGAAGGAAGAGGAGACCGGUGCUGGUGCUUACUUCACACCUACAUGCCAGGCAAUCCCCCAUUUAAUCCUUGUGAUAACCCCGCCCUGGAGAGCAUUGCUCCUGAUUUCCAGAGGAGGAAACUGAGGUAGAGUUUUUCUGCUAUCUGACAUAAAGCAGAUGCUUGAUAAAUGCUUGUCAAGCUGAAUCAUCUUCAGGUUCUUGAGAAAUGCUAAAGCUUUCUGAAAACAUGAAGAACUGUAACUCAUAUUGUCCAUGUGCUUUGCUGUGCUGAAUGAGGUUCAGGAGGUACAAGACAGCAUUUACUGAGUUUCGGGUGUAUUCACACAGGAGAGAUGCUAACUGUCCCUCACACGUGUGCUCUCCCAUCUCGGGUCUGGACUCGUGGCUGCCCAGCUAAGGACGACAUUGCUCAGGUCCCCGUUUACCUAGGUGGGGCUGAGGCACUGGAUCGCACCUAUGGAAUUGAACAUCUCCUCAGUCUAGGUGGUUAGGAAGCAGGUCUGCCUCUUCUCCCUUUUCUCCUAUUUUGCAGAUGACUCUGAAGCUCUUGGGGAUGGAAGAGCCACAAGACAGAAGGAGUCUGGGUCUCUGAAUCAUGCCUGGAAUUAGGAAAUGUUGCCUGCCAACCAGGAACACUGCAUCAAACUGAUGCAUGGAUAAGAUAUAUGUACACAAGCCUCUGAAACUGUGGGGUCUGUUUCCUACCAUAACUGGCAUUAUCCUAGUAUAGUGGAUGUGGUUUAUAUUCCUGGGCCUCUUUGCCAGUGGACGUUCGGGGUGUGGCAGAUGAUCAGGGGACACAGAGCUCUGAUUAAGCCUUUCUUGUACUCCUUCCCUUAGGUCCUUCAACACGAGCAGCCACACCAGACUGUUCCCACCCCUUUUGGCCUCUCUGCAGUCCUCAUGAUGUCCCCUCAGGUCAUUAUACUCUUUUACACUGACAAUAUUCUACCUUGCCUUCACAGUGUCCCAUAUGUCACCCCCUCGGGGAAGCUGUCCGUGACGCCCCCUCCCGCAGGCAGAGUCAAUCAUCUCAUGUCUCUACGGUGAUUAUCAGACUUGUCCUGUUGCUGUUUCUUGACGACUCCUUCCCCACCCAGCCCUCCUCCACUGCGCUGUCUGGGCCAGGCGCCAGGCCCGACGCGUUUCUCCUUGCCCUGUCAAUACAGGCCUGACAGUACAGAGAUGGCGGGGAGCAAGUGGAAUCCAGCACUCCCGCUGGAGUGCCGAGGAACUGGCAGAACUCCUGGAGGGCUGGGUGGGUAGGACUCCAAGUCCAAAUCAGGCCCGCUGGGAAAGGGGGCUGCGAUCAGUCAGUGCCGUCUGCCACGGGUGUAGGUCGAGGUAGCUGCUAAAUGCAUGCCAUGCAUCUGCUAUCUCGGAUGAAAUGCACCCUGGUCAAUUAGAGGCGAGGGAAUACUCCAAAAUUCCAAAGCCUCCACACCUCAAUCCCAGCCGCUGCCCCAGCCAAGACAGCAGCCCUGGGGCCCUACGUGAUCUAGCUGCUCUGUGACUAUUGCGCCUCUGGCCUCCUGGCUGUCCACCUUCCCGUGCUCACGGAGGCCACUAGGUCCUCCUUGCCGUCACCCAGGCUCACCAAGCAUGCUCCCGGCUGCGGGGUCUCUGCAGGGAUGUGUCCUCCAUUGGGGAAAUUCCUCUCCUGGAUGACUGAGCCCCUUACCGCCUUCAAUUCUUUGCUCAAAUGCACCCCAAGGUUACUUUUCUCACCACUCUGUUUCAAGUCGAGACUUUCCUCCCCACUGACUUUCCUAUCUGAUGUUCCAGACUCCCCCACUUCCUAUUUUAUGUUGCCCUAUAGUCUCUUUUACUGCUCAACAUACUCUAUGACAAUCUUAUUUAUCUGUCCACGAGGGCAGCGUUUUGCUGCUUGUAUCCCCAGUGUCCCCCACAGUGCCGGGCUCACAGCAGACGGCCCAUAAAUAUUUGUUGGAAGAAUCGAUAGCGAAGAAGUGGGCAAGUCGAGGACUCAUGCUCGGGCCAUUUCCACUGUAACGAAAAGCUGCCCGUUUGCUCAGCAGCUAACUUGAAUGUGACCUGUAGGAUGUCCCAGCCAACAGAGCCUAAGGAGCCACUGCCCAGCGACCUGUUCUCUCUUCCCCACAGCUCACCAGCAAUUCGAGAGGAGGCCUCUAUCUGCUGGUUCCCUGCUGGUCCCCUGAACUUUGGAAUCCAUGUGUCUAUUAAUUUGUUAUCUAAUUAAGGACCACUAGGACUGCGCUUUUCCAGAAUGCCCUCGAACCAAACCAAUAUAGCAUAUGCGCAUUCUCAUCAA